AGGGUUUCAAUGUCCAUGGUAAAGGGUACGAUAUCAGGGGCAGUGUCGGGGAGAACAGUUAAUGUGACAUGGUGUCCAGUGUGAAGGAGGAUGUCAGCAGACUUCAAAUCACUAACGUGACAUUGGAUCUCCAAGGACUGGACCUGUGCUGCUGGAAGUGUCUGUUGGGGUUAGACUGUCUCUU